rnacentral:tRNA from 3 species
GCGGGCGUGGUUCAGUGGUAGAACGUUUCCUUGCCAAGGAAAAGAUCGUGGGUUCGAAUCCCAUCGCCCGCU